CGACGGAGUAUGAGAGCAGAAGGUUUCGGCUGGAAGUUUGAAAUACUUAGUGGCGGACGGGUGAGUAACGCGUGGGUAACGUACCUAUCAGAGGGGAAUAACAAUGAGAAAUCAGUGCUAAUACCGCAUAAGGUUCAGUCAUCGCAUGAUGGCAGAAGGAAAGGUGGCGGACUUGAGAGAGGCUAUCGCUGAUAGAGCGACCCGCGUCUGAUUAGCUAGUUGGUGGGGUAAAGGCCUACCAAGGCGACGAUCAGUAGCCGGCCUGAGAGGGUGGACGGCCACAUUGGGACUGAGACACGGCCCAAACUCCUACGGGAGGCAGCAGUGGGGAAUCUUCCGCAAUGGGCGCAAGCCUGACGGAGCAAUGCCGCGUGAACGAAGAAGGUCUUCGGAUUGUAAAGUUCUGUCCUUAUCGAAGAGAGGGUAUAGAGUGAAAAAUGAUAUACUAGGACGGUAGAUGAGGAGGAAGCCCCGGCUAACUACGUGCCAGCAGCCGCGGUAAUACGUAGGGGGCGAGCGUUGUCCGGAAUCACUGGGCGUAAAGGGCGCGUAGGCGGUAAUAUAAGUCAGAUGUGAAAGGUGGGGGCUCAACCCCUAGAGUGCAACUGAUACUGUAUAACUUGAGUGUGAGAGAGGGAAGCGGAAUUCCUAGUGUAGCGGUGAAAUGCGUAGAUAUUAGGAGGAACACCAGUGGCGAAAGCGGCUUUCUGGCUCAUAACUGACGCUGAGGCGCGAAAGCGUGGGGAGCAAACAGGAUUAGAUACCCUGGUAGUCCACGCCGUAAACGA
rnacentral:rRNA from 1 species